rnacentral:rRNA from 1 species
GUAGGGAAUAUUGGACAAUGGGCGAAAGCCUGAUCCAGCCAUGCCGCGUGAUAGAUGAAGGCCCUCUGGGUUGUAAAUAUCUUUUAUCUGGGAAGAAACUCCUCUAUUCUUAGAGGCCUGACGGUACCAGAGGAAUAAGCACCGGCUAACUCCGUGCCAGCAGCCGCGGUAAUACGGAGGGUGCAAGCGUUAUCCGGAUUCACUGGGUUUAAAGGGUGCGUAGGCGGGUUGAUAAGUCAGUGGUGAAAGCUCCGGGCUUAACUUGGAAACUGCCAUUGAUACUGUCAAUCUUGAAUGUCGUAGAGGUAAGCGGAAUGUUGCAUGUAGCGGUGAAAUGCUUAGAUAUGUUACAGAACACCAAUUGCGAAGGCAGCUUACUAUGCGAUAAUUGACGCUGAGGCACGAAAGCGUGGGGAUCAAACAGGAUUAGAAACCCCUGUAGUCC